CCUACGGGAGGCAGCAGUGAGGAAUAUUGGUCAAUGGACGCAAGUCUGAACCAGCCAUGCCGCGUGCAGGAAGACGGCCCUAUGAGUUGUAAACUGCUUUUGUACGGGGGUAAACGCAGAUACGCGUAUCUGUCUGAAAGUACCGUACGAAUAAGGAUCGGCUAACUCCGUGCCAGCAGCCGCGGUAAUACGGAGGGUUCAAGCGUUAUCCGGAUUUAUUGGGUUGAAAGGGUGCGUAGGUGGGUGGUUAAGUUAGAGGUGAAAUCCCGAGGCUCAACUUCAGAAUUGCAUCUGAUACUGUUCGGCUAGAGAGUAGUUGCGGUAGGCGGAAUGUAUGGUGUAGCGGUGAAAUGCUUAGAGAUCAUAAAGAACACCGAUUGCGAAGGCAGCUUACCAAGCUGCUACUGACGUUGAGGCACGAAAGCGUGGGGAGCAAACAGGAUUAGAUACCCGUGUAGUC
rnacentral:rRNA from 1 species